rnacentral:rRNA from 1 species
UUAAGCGACUAAGCGUACACGGUGGAUGCCCUGGCAGUCAGAGGCGAUGAAGGACGUGCUAAUCUGCGAAAAGCGUCGGUAAGGUGAUAUGAACCGUUACAGCCGGCGAUGUCCGAAUGGGGAAACCCAGUGCAAUUCGUUGCACUAUCGUUAACUGAAUACAUAGGUUAACGAGGCGAACCGGGGGAACUGAAACAUCUAAGUACCCCGAGGAAAAGAAAUCAACCGAGAUUCCCCCAGUAGCGGCGAGCGAACGGGGAGCAGCCCGGAGUCUGAAUCAGCUUGUGUGUUAGUGGAAGCGUCUGGAAAGUCGCAGGGUACAGGGUGAUACUCCCGUACACUAAAACGCACAGGCUGUGAACUCGAAGAGUAGGGCGGGACACGUGGUAUCCUGUCUGAAUAUGGGGGGGACCAUCCUCCAAGGCUAAAUACUCCUGACUGACCGAUAGUGAACCAGUACCGUGAGGGAAAGGCGAAAAGAACCCCGGCGAGGGGAGUGAAAAAGAACCUGAAACCGUGUACGUACAAGCAGUAGGAGCCCACUAGUUGGGUGACUGCGUACCUUUUGUAUAAUGGGUCAGCGACUUAUAUUCUGUAGCAAGGUUAACCGAAUAGGGGAGCCGCAGGGAAACCGAGUCUUAACUGGGCGUUAAGUUGCAGGGUAUAGACCCGAAACCCGGUGAUCUAGCCAUGGGCAGGUUGAAGGUUGGGUAACACUAACUGGAGGACCGAACCGACUAAUGUUGAAAAAUUAGCGGAUGACUUGUGGCUGGGGGUGAAAGGCCAAUCAAACCGGGAGAUAGCUGGUUCUCCCCCGAAAGCUAUUUAGGUAGCGCCUCGUGAAUUCAUCUUCGGGGGGUAGAGCACUGUUUCGGCUAGGGGGGUCAUCCCGACUUACCAACCCGAUGCAAACUACGAAUACCGAAGAAUGUUAUCACGGGAGACACACGGCGGGUGCUAACGUCCGUCGUGAAGAGGGAAACAACCCAGACCGCCAGCUAAGGUCCCAAAGUCAUGGUUAAGUGGGAAACGAUGUGGGAAGGCCCAGACAGCCAGGAUGUUGGCUUAGAAGCAGCCAUCAUUUAAAGAAAGCGUAAUAGCUCACUGGUCGAGUCGGCCUGCGCGGAAGAUGUAACGGGGCUAAACCAUGCACCGAAGCUGCGGCAGCGACACUAUGUGUUGUUGGGUAGGGGAGCGUUCUGUAAGCCGUUGAAGGUGGCCUGUGAGGGUUGCUGGAGGUAUCAGAAGUGCGAAUGCUGACAUAAGUAACGAUAAUGCGGGUGAAAAACCCGCACGCCGGAAGACCAAGGGUUCCUGUCCAACGUUAAUCGGGGCAGGGUGAGUCGACCCCUAAGGCGAGGCCGAAAGGCGUAGUCGAUGGGAAACAGGUUAAUAUUCCUGUACUUGGUGUUACUGCGAAGGGGGGACGGAGAAGGCUAUGUUGGCCGGGCGACGGUUGUCCCGGUUUAAGCAUGUAGGCGGAUGUUCCAGGUAAAUCCGGAACGUUACUAACGCUGAGGUGUGAUGACGAGGCACUACGGUGCUGAAGUGACAAAUGCCCUGCUUCCAGGAAAAGCCUCUAAGCAUCAGGUAACAUCAAAUCGUACCCCAAACCGACACAGGUGGUCAGGUAGAGAAUACCAAGGCGCUUGAGAGAACUCGGGUGAAGGAACUAGGCAAAAUGGUGCCGUAACUUCGGGAGAAGGCACGCUGAUGGUAAGUGAAGUGACUUGCUCAUGGAGCUGAAAUCAGUCGAAGAUACCAGCUGGCUGCAACUGUUUAUUAAAAACACAGCACUGUGCAAACACGAAAGUGGACGUAUACGGUGUGACGCCUGCCCGGUGCCGGAAGGUUAAUUGAUGGGGUUAUCCUCACGGAGAAGCUCUUGAUCGAAGCCCCGGUAAACGGCGGCCGUAACUAUAACGGUCCUAAGGUAGCGAAAUUCCUUGUCGGGUAAGUUCCGACCUGCACGAAUGGCGUAAUGAUGGCCAGGCUGUCUCCACCCGAGACUCAGUGAAAUUGAACUCGCUGUGAAGAUGCAGUGUACCCGCGGCAAGACGGAAAGACCCCGUGAACCUUUACUAUAGCUUGACACUGAACACUGGUCCUUGAUGUGUAGGAUAGGUGGGAGGCUUUGAAGUGUGGACGCCAGUCUGCAUGGAGCCAUCCUUGAAAUACCACCCUUUAAUGGCUGGUGUUCUAACGUGGGCCCCUAAUCGGGGUUGCGGACAGUGUCUGGUGGGUAGUUUGACUGGGGCGGUCUCCUCCUAAAGAGUAACGGAGGAGCACGAAGGUCAGCUAAUCCUGGUCGGACAUCAGGAGGUUAGUGCAAUGGCAUAAGCUGGCUUGACUGCGAGCGUGACGGCGCGAGCAGGUGCGAAAGCAGGUCAUAGUGAUCCGGUGGUUCUGAAUGGAAGGGCCAUCGCUCAACGGAUAAAAGGUACUCCGGGGAUAACAGGCUGAUACCGCCCAAGAGUUCAUAUCGACGGCGGUGUUUGGCACCUCGAUGUCGGCUCAUCACAUCCUGGGGCUGAAGUAGGUCCCAAGGGUAUGGCUGUUCGCCAUUUAAAGUGGUACGCGAGCUGGGUUUAGAACGUCGUGAGACAGUUCGGUCCCUAUCUGCCGUGGGCGCUGGAGAAUUGAGGGGGGCUGCUCCUAGUACGAGAGGACCGGAGUGGACGCAUCACUGGUGUUCGGGUUGUCAUGCCAAUGGCAUUGCCCGGUAGCUAAAUGCGGAAGAGAUAAGUGCUGAAAGCAUCUAAGCACGAAACUUGCCCCGAGAUGAGUUCUCCCUGACCCUUUAAGGGUCCUGAAGGAACGUUGAAGACGACGACGUUGAUAGGCCGGGUGUGUAAGCGCAGCGAUGCGUUGAGCUAACCGGUACUAAUGAACCGUGAGGCUUAACCUU